GCGGGCGAGGCGAGUCUCCUUCGGGAGGCUUGUAGUAGACCGGCGGACGGGUGAGUAAAGCGCAGAUAACCUAUCGGCAGGCGGGGGACAACUUCGGGAAACCGGAGCUAAUACCGCAUGAGGCCGGAGGCCCGCAUGGGCCUCCGGUGAAAGCCUUCGGGCGCCUGCUGGGGGGUUUGCGUGCCAUUAGCUGGUUGGUGAGGUAACGGCUCACCAAGGCGAUGAUGGCUAGCUGGUCUGAGAGGACGAUCAGCCACACGGGGACUGAGACACGGCCCCGACUCCUACGGGAGGCAGCAGUGAGGAAUCUUGCGCAAUGGGGGAAACCCUGACGCAGCCACGCCGCGUGGAGGAAGACGGCCCUACGGGUUGUAAACUCCUUUUCUGGCCGAAGAACCUGGCCCUUUCGAGGGCCACUGACGGUAGGUCAGGAAUAAGCACCGGCUAACUCCGUGCCAGCAGCCGCGGUAAUACGGAGGGUGCAAGCGUUGUCCGGAAUCAUUGGGUGUAAAGGGUACGCAGGCGGGCGUCUGCGUCCGGGGUGAAAUCCUGCCGCUUAACGGUAGAAGGGCCUCGGAUACGAGACGUCUUGAGUCCAGCAGAGGCCGGUGGAAUUCGUGGUGUAGCGGUGAAAUGCAUAGAUAUCACGAAGAACACCAGUGGCGAAAGCGACCGGCUGGGCUGGAACUGACGCUGAGGUACGGAAGCG
rnacentral:rRNA from 1 species